UUUUCUUAAGAAGCUAGUAGCAAAAUGAGUUCAAUGAUUAAGUUUUUUUUUUUAGCUUUACUGAUUUUAUCAGUUAAAAACAAUGCUGCUGCGAAAGAUGGCAAAAAAAGUUGGAGUCGUGAUUUGAAAACUGGUGUUAAACCUUUUUAUCAACUCGCUUAUAUAUGGAAUACUUUAAUGGAUAUUCGGGACAGAGUUUUCUCAACUCGAAAAGAAAAGGAAUUAUAGUUAUAGACAUUUAUUUCGCCACUUACCUUUUUCACAGUGUCAAACAGAAAUAGUUUUAGUUGAUUAAAUGAUUUGUUCCUCAUUUGUAAAAUGAAACAAAUAAUACAAAAAAUAUAUAUUUUUCAGUUAAUCUA
rnacentral:lncRNA from 1 species